rnacentral:rRNA from 1 species
UCAACCGUGGAGGGUCAUUGGAAACUGGAAAACUUGAGUGCAGAAGAGGAAAGUGGAAUUCCAUGUGUAGCGGUGAAAUGCGCAGAGAUAUGGAGGAACACCAGUGGCGAAGGNGACUUUCUGGUCUGUAACUGACGCUGAUGUGCGAAAGCGUGGGGAUCAAACAGGAUUAGAUACCCUGGUAGUCCACGCCGUAAACGAUGAGUGCUAAGUGUUAGGGGGUUUCCGCCCCUUAGUGCUGCAGCUAANGCAUUAANCACUCCGCCUGGGGAGUACGACCGCAAGGUUGAAACUCAAAGGAAUUGACGGGGACCCGCNCAAGCGGUGGAGCAUGUGGUUUAAUUNGAAGCAACGNGAAGANCCUUACCAAAUCUUGACAUCCUUUGACCCUUNUAGAGAUAGAAGUUUCCCCUUCGGGGGACAAAGUGACAGGUGGUGCAUGGUUGUCGUCAGCUCGUGUCGUGAGAUGUUGGGUUAAGUCCCGCAACGAGCGCAACCCUUAAGCUUAGUUGCCAUCAUUAAGUUGGGCACUCUAAGUUGACUGCCGGUGACAAACCGGAGGAAGGUGGGGAUGACGUCAAAUCAUCAUGCCCCUUAUGAUUUGGGCUACACACGUGCUACAAUGGACAAUACAAAGGGCAGCGAAACCGCGAGGUCAAGCAAAUCCCAUAAAGUUGUUCUCAGUUCGGAUUGUAGUCUGCAACUCGACUACAUGAAGCUGGAAUCGCUAGUAAUCGUAGAUCAGCAUGCUACGGUGAAUACGUUCCCGGGUCUUGUACACACCGCCCGUCACACCACGAGAGUUUGUAACACCCGAAGCCGG